rnacentral:rRNA from 1 species
GAUGAACGCUAGCUACAGGCUUAACACAUGCAAGUCGAGGGGCAGCAUGACGGAAGCUUGCUUCCGUUGAUGGCGACCGGCGCACGGGUGAGUAACGCGUAUCCAACCUGCCCUUGUCCAUCGGAUAACCCGUCGAAAGGCGGACUAACACGAUAUGCAGUCCACAGCAGGCAUCUAACGUGGACGAAAUGUGAAGGAGAAGGAUGGGGAUGCGUCUGAUUAGCUUGUUGGCGGGGUAACGGCCCACCAAGGCGACGAUCAGUAGGGGUUCUGAGAGGAAGGUCCCCCACAUUGGAACUGAGACACGGUCCAAAACUCCUACGGGAGGCAGCAGUGAGGAAUAUUGGUCAAUGGGCGAGAGCCUGAACCAGCCAAGUAGCGUGCAGGAUGACGGCCCUAUGGGUUGUAAAACUGCUUUUAUACGGGGAUAAAAGUGGGUCACGUGUGGCUUAUUGCAGGUACCGUAUGAAUAAGGACCGGCUAAUUCCGUGCCAGCAG